rnacentral:rRNA from 1 species
CAGCAGCCGCCGCGGGAAUACAGAGGGUGCAAGCGUUAAUCGGAAUUACUGGGCGUAAAGCGCGCGUAGGUGGUUUGUUAAGUUGGAUGUGAAAUCCCCGGGCUCAACCUGGGAACUGCAUCCAAAACUGGCAAGCUAGAGUAUGGUAGAGGGUGGUGGAAUUUCCUGUGUAGCGGUGAAAUGCGUAGAUAUAGGAAGGAACACCAGUGGCGAAGGCGACCACCUGGACUGAUACUGACACUGAGGUGCGAAAGCGUGGGGAGCAAACAGGAUUAGAUACCCGCGUAGUCCCUGUCUCUUAUAC